rnacentral:lncRNA from 1 species
GUUGUAUGUGCGUCUGAGAAUACCAAGACAUAAAGUUGGAGAGUUAGGUGAGAGUCUAGGGGCUUUAAGUUCAUGGCUGUGAAGCUUGGAUUUUGUCUUAAAGGCAGAUGGAGGCUAACGAGGAUUUAAAAACAGAAGGAUGAUGUUAUCAGAGUGAUGUUUUCAGAAAGAUAGAUGUGGUAGCGUCAUUGAGGACUACAGAAAGGAAUUGGAGGCAAAGGUAUUGCCAUGUUAACUUAAAAUAGUGAAUAAAUGUGCAUGUGGACAUGUUCUAGUCUAAGAACAGAAGCUGAAGCUUGUCUCUAUGGACUAUACAUCAAUGUUUGUGAUCUUGGAGAAGGGAACCAAGAUACUGGAGAAGAAUAUUCUGGAAAGGCAAGAGUUCAAAGCAUGAUGUAUACUCUACACUGAUUCUGAAAGCAGGGCGGUUUGAAGUUUUCAGUAUGCCAAUUUGUUAUAUUUGACAUAACUGAUAACCAGUCUUUAAUUGAUGGCUCCUGUUUCUCUGAAGAGUUCUGGAUGUGGGAACAAUUCAGCUUUUUCCCACUUCUCAGCCAUACCAUCGUCAGUCACCUCAGAAUGUUUAAUUCUUUGGCAGACGGAACUGGUGAGGUGGCCCCCAUUACCGCCUUUCUUGACGUCAGUGAGGGAGUUGUUCCCUGUGGCUGUCUUAUGUGAAAUAAUUCAGCAUUUGUACUUCAAUUAAAUUCAUAGGUAUAUAUUAUUAAAUGGUACUGAC